AGAGUUUGAUCAUGGCUCAGAACGAACGCUGGCGGCGUGGAUAAGACAUGCAAGUCGAGCGCUGAUUACAGGGUAGCAAUAUUCUGUGGUCGGAGCGGCGCAAGGGUGCGUAACACGUGGGUAAUCUGCCAUGAAGUUUGGGAUAACUCGCUGAAAGGCGAGCUAAUACCGGAUGUGACAAUUGGGAGGCAUCUCCUGAUUUUCAAAGCUGGGGACCGUAAGGCCUGGCGCUUCUUGAUGAGCCCGCGGCCUAUCAGCUUGUUGGUGAGGUAACGGCUCACCAAGGCUAAGACGGGUAGCUGGUCUGAGAGGACGACCAGCCACACUGGAACUGAGACACGGUCCAGACACCUACGGGUGGCAGCAGUCGAGAAUUUUUCACAAUGGGCGCAAGCCUGAUGGAGCGACGCCGCGUGGGGGAUGAAUGGCUUCGGCCCGUAAACCCCUGUCAUUUGCGAUCAAACCUCGUUAUUUAAAAGAUGACGAGCUGAUAGUAGCGAAAGAGGAAGGGACGGCUAACUCUGUGCCAGCAGCCGCGGUAAUACAGACCCAAGCGUUGUUCGGAUUCACCGGGCGUAAAGGGUGCGUAGGUGGCGAGGUAAGUCGGAUGUGAAAUCUCCGAGCUCAACUCGGAAAUGGCAUUGGAAACUACCUUGCUCGAGGGAUGGAGGGGGGACUGGAAUUCUCGGUGUAGCAGUGAAAUGCGUAGAUAUCGAGAGGAACACCAGUGGCGAAGGCGAGUCCCUGGACAUCUCCUGACACUGAGGCACGAAAGCUAGGGGAGCAAACAGGAUUAGAUACCCNNGUAGUCC
rnacentral:rRNA from 1 species